CAGCACGGGCUUCGGCCUGGUGGCGAGUGGCGAACGGGUGAGUAAUAUAUCGGAACGUACCCAAGAGUGGGGGAUAACGUAGCGAAAGUUACGCUAAUACCGCAUACGAUCUACGGAUGAAAGUGGGGGAUCGCAAGACCUCAUGCUCCUGGAGCGGCCGAUAUCUGAUUAGCUAGUUGGUGAGGUAAAGGCUCACCAAGGCCACGAUCAGUAGCUGGUCUGAGAGGACGACCAGCCACACUGGAACUGAGACACGGUCCAGACUCCUACGGGAGGCAGCAGUGGGGAAUUUUGGACAAUGGGCGCAAGCCUGAUCCAGCAAUGCCGCGUGAGUGAAGAAGGCCUUCGGGUUGUAAAGCUCUUUUGUCAGGGAAGAAACGGUAGAGGCUAAUAUCCUUUGCUAAUGACGGUACCUGAAGAAUAAGCACCGGCUAACUACGUGCCAGCAGCCGCGGUAAUACGUAGGGUGCAAGCGUUAAUCGGAAUUACUGGGCGUAAAGCGUGCGCAGGCGGUUUUGUAAGUCUGUCGUGAAAGCCCCGGGCUCAACCUGGGAAUUGCGAUGGAGACUGCAAGGCUUGAAUCUGGCAGAGGGGGGUAGAAUUCCACGUGUAGCAGUGAAAUGCGUAGAGAUGUGGAGGAACACCGAUGGCGAAGGCAGCCCCCUGGGUCAAGAUUGACGCUCAUGCACGAAAGCGUGGGGAGCAAACAGGAUUAGAUACCCUGGUAGUCCACGCCCUAAACGAUGUCUACUAGUUGUCGGGUUUUAAUUAACUUGGUAACGCAGCUAACGCGUGAAGUAGACCGCCUGGGGAGUACGGUCGCAAGAUUAAAACUC
rnacentral:rRNA from 1 species